rnacentral:rRNA from 2 species
UCUGGUUGAUCCUGCCUGAACUGAUGUGUUCAUUUCAAAGAUUAAGCCAUGCAUGUGUAAGUUUAACCUGCCAGACAGGGAAACUGCGUACGGCUCAUUACACCAGCUAUAAUUUACUUGACCUUGACUUCUUACUUGGAUAACUGUGGUAAUUCUAGAGCUAAUACAUGCACCAAAGCUCCAAUCUCCCCAGAGCGGAGCGCAUUUGUUCGCCACAAAACCAAGCGCCCUCCGGGCGUCCAGUGUUGACUCAGAACAACUAAGCUGAUCGCACGGUCUUGACCCGGCGACGUGUCUUUCAAGUGUCUGCCUUAUCAACUUUCGAUGGUAGUGUAUCUGACUACCAUGGUGAUGACGGGUAACGGAGGAUAAGGGUUCGACUCCGGAGAAGGGGCCUGAGAAAUGGCCACUACGUCUAAGGAUGGCAGCAGGCGCGCAAAUACCCACUCUCAACGCGAGGAGGUAGUGACGAGAAAUAACGAGACCGAUCUCUUAUGAGGCCGGUCAUCGGAAUGGGUACAAUUUAAACCCUUNAACGAGUAUCUAUGAGAGGGCAAGUCUGGUGCCAGCAGCCGCGGUAAUUCCAGCUCUCAAAAUGCAUAGAAUUAUUGCUGCGGUUAAAAAGCUCGUAGUUGGAUCUGUGCUAGCCGUCCGGUGCACACUUUGUGUGUUACUGGUUUGGUUGGCUUUUCUGCCGGUCUUUCCCCGGCGUUGGCCUUUACCGGUCGGCGUCGGUGGGCUGGCGAGUUUACUUUGAACAAAUCAGAGUGCUUCAAACAGGCGUUUCGCUUGAAUGUUCGUGCAUGGAAUAAUAGAAGAGGAUUUCGGUCCGAUUUUAUUGGUUUUGCUGACCGAGAUAAUGGUUAACAGAGACAAACGGGGCCAUUCGUAUUGCUACGUGAGAGGUGAAAUUCUUGGACCGUAGCAAGACGGACUACAGCGAAAGCAUUUGGCAAGAAUGUCUUCAUUAAUCAAGAACGAAAGUCAGAGGUUCGAAGGCGAUCAGAUACCGCCCUAGUUCUGACCGUAAACGAUGCCAACUAGCGAUCCGCCGGCGGAUUUAUUCGCCCUGGUGGGGAGCUUCCCGGAAACGAAAGUCUUCCGGUUCCGGGGGAAGUAUGGUUGCAAAGCUGAAACUUAAAGGAAUUGACGGAAGGGCACCACCAGGA